ensembl:rRNA 5S_rRNA 5S ribosomal RNA
GUGUACAGGCAUACCACCCUGAACAUGCCCAGUCUCUUCUGAUCCCUAAAGCUAAGUACAGUUGGACCUGGUUAGUACUUGGACGGGAGAAAGAAGGAAUUUAACACA